rnacentral:rRNA from 1 species
GACGUAGGGGGCCAGCGUUGCUCGGAAUUACUGGGCGUAAAGGGUUCGUAGGCGGUGCGGCAAGUCGGUAGUGAAAUCUCCAGGCUUAACUUGGAGGCUGCUGCCGAAACUGCUGUGCUAGAGUGCAGGAGAGGCGAGUGGAAUUCCUGGUGUAGCGGUGAAAUGCGCAGAGUAUCAAGGAGGAACACCAAUGGCGAAGGCAG